AUGUAAAGUUUGAGUCUUUAUCAUGCAUACACAUUCUAGACUCAUUUAAAAAUAUUCAUAUAAACGCUAUUUCUUAAUAUCUUUUUUUUUUUAUAUGUGGAUUUGGUGCAUUGAUUUAUGCUUGAUCAUAUUAUCUAGAAAGCAUGCUCAUUAUAUAUUCAUUUGAUUAUGCACCUUGCUAUAUAUAUCCAAAGUUUCUUAGUUAUUUCUUUGCUAUGGUGCAAACUUAUGAUCUGUACAGGUUAUGAGAAGUCAGUAUCUUUUGUCAAAAUCUCGCCACUACUUCGUUCGGAUCUUGAGCCUGCUACCGUUGGGCCCCAGGAGGCCACUUAGUUGUUGACAUACCAGAGACUUUGUGGUGAGCUGCUACGUUUGGUUUUGCAGCUUAUGGAGUUCCCCUCUGCCCUCUUUAUUGUUCUAAUUCCAGAUAGUAACUUUUGUAUUUUGAGACUAUGAUGUAUUCUGGUUAUAGAUGCUCAUGAUAUUGUGACACUAGUCUCAGGAUUGUUUAGACGUGUUUUGUUUGGAUCAGAUUUGUUUCUGCCGAUUUCUAUCUAUGAUAGUUAGAUUUUAUUUAUAUUAUCUUGUUAUGAGUAAUUGUAAAUGUUGGUUCGCA